rnacentral:rRNA from 1 species
UGGGCAACCUGCCCCCAGACACAGGGAUAACCCCCGGGAAACCGGGGCUAAUACCGGAUACUCCGGUCGAACCGCAUGGCUCGAUCGGGAAAGCUCCGACGGUCUGGGAUGGGCCCGCGGCCUAUCAGCUUGUUGGUGGGGUAACGGCCUACCAAGGCGACGACGGGUAGCUGGUCUGAGAGGACGACCAGCCACACUGGAACUGAGAUACGGUCCAGACUCCGUACGGGAG